UGGGGAAUUUUGGACAAUGGGGGAAACCCUGAUCCAGCCAUCCCGCGUGUGCGAUGAAGGCCUUCGGGUUGUAAAGCACUUUUGGCAGGAAAGAAACGUCAUGGGUUAAUACCCCGUGAAACUGACGGUACCUGCAGAAUAAGCACCGGCUAACUACGUGCCAGCAGCCGCGGUAAUACGUAGGGUGCAAGCGUUAAUCGGAAUUACUGGUCGUAAAGCGUGCGCAGGCGGUUCGGAAAGAAAGAUGUGAAAUCCCAGAGCUCAACUUUGGAACUGCAUUUUUAACUACCGGGCUAGAGUGUGUCAGAGGGAGGUGGAAUUCCGCGUGUAGCAGUGAAAUGCGUAGAUAUGCGGAGGAACACCGAUGGCGAAGGCAGCCUCCUGGGAUAACAAUGACGCUCAUGAACGAAAGCGUGGGGAGCAAACAGG
rnacentral:rRNA from 1 species